rnacentral:rRNA from 1 species
GCUAAGAGAUCAGCCUAUGUCCUAUCAGCUUGUUGGUAAGGUAAUGGCUUACCAAGGCUAUGACGGGUAUCCGGCCUGAGAGGGUUGAACGGACACACUGGAACUGAGACACGGUCCAGACUCCUACGGGAGGCAGCAGUAGGGAAUAUUGCUCAAUGGGGGAAACCCUGAAGCAGCAACGCCGCGUGGAGGAUGAAGGUUUUAGGAUUGUAAACUCCUUUUGUUAGAGAAGAUAAUGACGGUAUCUAACGAAUAAGCACCGGCUAACUCCGUGCCAGCAGCCGCGGUAAUACGGAGGGUGCAAGCGUUACUCGGAAUCACUGGGCGUAAAGAGCGCGUAGGCGGGAUAGUCAGUCAGGUGUGAAAUCCUAUGGCUUAACCAUAGAACUGCAUUUGAAACUACUAUUCUAGAGUGUGGGAGAGGUAGGUGGAAUUCCUUGGUGUAGGGGUAAAAUCCGUAGAGAUCAAGAGGAAUACUCAUUGCGAAGGCGACCUGCUGGAACAUUACUGACGCUGAUUGC